CCCACCUCCUGAGUUCAACAAUUCUCCUGCCUCAGCCUCCUGAGUAGCUGGGAUUACAGGGUAGAAGUGAGUCGCAGGUCUCACCCAUACUCAAUGGGAGGAAUCACAAAAGGACGUGAACACCAGGAGACAGAGAUCUUGGAAGCCACCUUAAAGUCUACCUGCCAUAUACACCAUAUGUGACUGCACACCUCACCUCUUACCUCACGAAAUCACUUGAGGAGGAAUUCUGUGAUGAAAAUAUAAAUUUGCUGCCAGAGACUUGGUCUUGCUGCAUUACCCAGGCUGGUCUUGAACCUCUUGGCUCAAACAAUCCUCCUGCUUCAGCCUCCUGAGUAGCUGGGACUACAGGCUCAUGUCAUGCAUCUGGCAAAGGUAAGUAUAUUUCAACAAAAAUCAGAGUGUUAUUUAGGGCAAAAAGGAGAAGGUAAUGUGGAUAGGCAAACAGCAAGGUCUUCUGCAGAAGAAUGCAUG